UCCGCGCGUACAAUCAUUGUACAAUCGAAUUUGCCCGUUUGUUUAUGAGUGUUUGGAAGUAGAUAUGCGUGCGAGAAAAAAUGGAAUAAAAACUGUAUGUAAGUGACCACUAAAGAUGCAAUUUCAAACAAACCGAGAACCGUAAAUACAUUGCGAUAAAUGUUUACAACACAGUAUGAAAUAUACAGAGAUAGCUUCAACCAACUUUUCCAAGAAGCUAGACCUUACCUUUGUUUGAAAAUUCAACUGUGGCUAUAGUUGAAACUUGCAUUAAAGAUGAAGCUAGUGAUGAGGCGAAUCAACAUGAGAAUCUCCAUUUGACAAAUAUAAUUACACAAAGUUGCUGCAUCCUUGAGGAAACUAUAGAAGCAAGGUUUGCCUAUAAACAGUGCAUUUUUUGGUGUCAUUGAUGAAGGGGUGUUUUUAUUUCACAUCAACUGCAUCACAACUUUGACAGAUCCCACAUGGAUGGAGUUGUGAAUAUCCC